GAAAGAAGCCCCACGGUACAAGGAGCGAAGAAGCCCAAACCAUUUACCCAACACUCCUUCUCCCCACCCCGCUCCCAAAACCCCAGUUCGAGCGCGGCGCCGGAGCGCAGAUAAAUAGCUCCCCGCGAACACCUCCAUCUACGGCGGCGAUGGCCGGCGUCGGCGCCGACGGCGGAGGAGACACGGAGAUGGGUGGCUGGUCAGAGCUGCUCAACACCUCCACCAAGCUCCUCGAGCAGGCCGCCCCCACCCCUCACUUCCCUACCCUCCAGAGGAACCUGGACCAGCUCGAGGUGCUCUCCACGAAGCUUAAGGCCAAGACGAUCCGCGCCGAGGCGCCGUCGCAGUCGCUCUCCGCCACCAGGUUGCUGGCGCGCGAGGGGAUCAAUGCGGAGCAGCUCACCAGGGACCUCAAGUCAUUUGAACUCAAGACCACCUUUGAGGAUGUUUUUCCGUCAGAAGCAACUUCUGUCGAGGAAUACCUGCAACAGCUUCAUGAAAUGGCAAUUGUCUCAUCCAUCCAAGGAGCACAAAAGGACAACUUAAAGAGUUUUAACAAUUAUAUGAUGCAAGUUCUUGAGAAGGAGAAGAGAGAUUUCUUGCAGAGUCUAAGCCGACUUUCUACAUUACCAAAGAGAAACACCAAUCUAGCUGGUGGUCUGUCUCGUUAUGCUCUGAUGCCAUCUUCAGCUUCCAGUCCUCAAGCUUCAUCAGGGCUGCCCGCUGCGGAAGUCAUGCCCAUACCUAACAAGACCAUAAUUGAUAGUAAAUCUUCAGUUUAUGCGGGGGUUGUGAAGGAUCUCAACGACGCUAGAGGACGCAGUCUGCCUUUCAGUCCUGCUACAGCUUUCAGAGCUGCCUACGAGUCCUUGUCUCUUGAUGCUACUGGCUUGAAGUCAGUGACCAUGCAGAAAGUGUGGCAUUUGAUUCAGGCAUUAGUAGGGGAAGGGUUAACUCAUAGAAACGUUUCAACAAAAAUGUCACUAGUGGUUGGAGCAAGGCGACACCUUGAAUGGGGUCAUGAGAAGUACAUUAUUGAGACCAUCAACAGCCAGCCAGCACUAGCUGCUCUUGGUGGAUCGGUUGGCAAUCUUCAAAAGAUUCGUGCAUUUCUUCGGGUCCGGUUGCGGGAUCAUGGCGUGUUAGACUUUGAUGCAAGUGACCUUCGCAGACAGCCACCAGUGGAUACAACAUGGCAGCAGAUUUAUUUCUGCUUAAGAACUGGGUAUUAUGAUGAAGCAAGGCAAGUUGCUCAAUCAUCUCGUGCUGCUUACAACUUCGCCCCUCUGCUUGCAGAAUGGAUUACUACUAAUGGUGCUGUAUCAUCAGAGACCGCUCUGACAGCUUCUGAGGAAUGUGAAAAAAUGCUCAGAAUGGGUGACCGACCAGGGCGUCCUGGUUAUGAUAGGAAGAAGUUGCUUCUUUAUGCCAUAAUUUGUGGCUGUCGACGGCAAAUUGACAGAUUACUUAAAGAUCUGCCAACACUUUUCAAUACUAUAGAGGAUUUCUUGUGGUUCAAGUUGUCAGCUCUGCGGGAAUACUCCAGUGCAUCUUCUUCUAAUGUUGCGAGUGAAGGCUUGGUUCCUUAUAUGCUGGAGGAUUUACAAAAUUAUCUGAACAAAUUUGAGCCAUCAUAUUAUACAAAAAAUGGAAAAGACCCCUUGGUCUAUCCCUAUAUUCUACUCUUAAGCAUCCAAUCACUCCCAGCAAUUCUUUAUUUGUCUAAAGAAGUUGGAGAGGAAGGGUACCAUGUUGAUGCUGUGCAUAUUUCAAUUACUCUAGCUGAUCAUGGUAUUCUCCCUGAGGGAGUUGGAUCAGGCCAGAAGAUGGGUGUAAUGGAUGCUUGCGCAGAAGCUGACAGUAUUAUAUGGCAAUAUGGCUCUAUUUACUUGCGCAAUGGCAACCUUGAUUUGGCCUUGGAGUAUUAUGCACAGGCUGCUGCUGCAAUGGGUGGAGGAGAGGUAUCAUGGAUUGGUCAAGGGAAUGCUGAUCAACAACGUCAACGAAGUUCAAUGUUGAAGCAACUGCUCACAGAGAUAUUACUAAGGGACGGUGGUAUUCAACUUCUGCUUGGUCCAAGUGGAAUGGGAGAAGAAGGAGAACUAAAAAAGUAUAUGAUGGAUUGGAGAAGUAGGCAGCAAUUCUUGCUUGAAGCCGCCCAUCGGUGUCAAGAGGCAGGGCUCUAUGACAAAUCAGUGGAAAUUCACAAAAGAGUUGGAGCCUUUGCCAUGGCACUUCAGACAGUAAACAAGUGUCUAUCGGAUGCAGUAUGUGCCCUGGCACAAAAUAUGUUAGAUGGCGAAAGCCGUGCUGUUGCUCUAAUUCAAUCUGGCAAUGAAAUUUUGGAGACAGCCAGAUAUUCUUCUGAAGCCAGUGUUCAAGACAAGGAUCUCAUUUCUGAACAGCAAAUUAUACUGAGACAGCUUGAAGCUAUUCUUCACAUUUAUAGGCUAGCUCGUGCUGGACAAACUGUUGACGCUCUGAGGGAAACCAUCAAACUUCCAUUUCUUCAUUUGGAUCCACAGUCUUCGAAUGUAUCAGUCGAUGUAUUCAGGAAUUUAUCACCCCAUGUUCAAGCUUGUGUGCCAGAUCUCCUGAAGGUUGCUCUAAACUGCAUGGACAAUGUUAGAGAUACCGAUGGGACCCUGCGUGCUGUCAAGUCAAAGUGACAAUGGUUGAAGAGGGAGAUGCCGGUGGAAGUGGGGAAGAGGUUUUCUUUUUAGCUCAAAGGGAGCAAACAUGAUCGAAUAUAUGUGCUGUUUUUUCUCAUUUUUCCCUUUUGUUUUUGUUUUUUGGUUUUUGCUCUUUCGACCCAUGCAGAGGAUUGUAUCAAAGGAUAAACGGCGGAACAGGAAAAGGGCUGCUGAGCGGUGUGUUCGUAGUCGCAUUGUUCUUGAUGGUGAGGAAGUAGGGUUGGAGGAUGAUACCGAAUCCCGUGUUGCAAAGCGAGCCAGACCGAAAGGAAAAGGCAAAUCAUCUUAUGGGGGUGGCCCAACCUCUGCAGAAGCUGCUGAGGUGGGUGAAGUUGGAGUUGAAGGGAAUGAAGGAAACGUUCCUUAGCGACGUUCACAAGCUGGAAGGAUUAGGGCCUCCCCAGGGAGGUUUGUGAAGGUGAACACAGAACUGGCACCUGUUCAAAGGUCUUUCCUGUAUGAGAAGAUGUUAGGCGGCUUGAUAAACUUAGCCGACACACUGCCUUCUGACUUGACGAAGUUCCUAGUCCAGUCGUACGACCCAGACAGUUCAGCUUUGGUAUUUCCAGGCAGGGGCACUAUUCCAGUAGAUGCUGCUAGUGUGCACAGGAAUUUUGGUUUACCCAACAGAGGGCCGCGUCUGAAAUACAUUGUUGAAAAGGAGGUUGUGAAGAGUUUCAAUCACAUGUUCAACCACACCGGGCCACCCAAACACCCCACGAUCACCGAAUUCAGCAAGACGAUGAGAGCUAUGAAGGGAACAACUGAUAACAAGUUCCUCACUGGCUGGCUUGCAAUUGGUUUCAACACCUUUUUAGCUCCUACCACAAGUCUUUCUCUGAGCCCACAUUGCUACGGUGCUGUCCUAGAACCUGAUGUUCUGUUGAAGAGUAAUGUGAGCUUAUUUGUUGUUGAGCACAUAAACAAAGCAUUCCGCAACAUGGGUGAGGACAAGCAAACAGUCUGUUGCUAUCUGUAUCAUUUGAUGGUGAGCUGUAAUUAAAUUUUGUCUCUGUUAAACAUAGUUUUCUACAUGGUGUGCUUUUAUCACCAAUGUGCUCAUAUGUUGUUUUC
rnacentral:rRNA from 1 species